rnacentral:rRNA from 1 species
GACGAACGCUGGCGGCGUGCUUAACACAUGCAAGUCGAACGGAGAACCUCUUCGGAGGGGAUCAGUGGCGAACGGGUGGGUAACACGUGGGCAACCGGCCCCCGGCUCUGGGAUAACUCCAAGAAUUUGGGGCUAAUACGGGAUGUUCACCGCUUCUCGCAUGGGGGGUGGUGGAAAGGGGUUGCUGCGUGGGGUGGUCGCGCGGCGUAGCAGCUGGUUGGUGGAGUAGGGUCGUACAAAGUGGGCGAUGGGUAGCCCGCCUGGGAGCGUGACCGGCCACCCUGGGCCUGAGAGACGCACCAGACUCCUACGGGCGGCAGCGGUGGAGAAUAUUGCGCAGCGGGCGCAAGUGUGACGUAGCGACGCCGCGAUCGUGAUGCCGGCCUUCUGGUUGUAAACCUCUUUCAGAAGGGACGAAGCGAAAGUGACGGUACCUGCAGAAGAAGCACCGGCUAACUACGUG